rnacentral:sRNA from 1 species
GACAGUCUUCACCUCACUAGUCUACUCUUAUGUUCAGCUACUCUCUACGGAGUAGUUACAUUUCCCUUUUCAUAACUGAGUCAUUAUACCAUUCUGGAUCUAGCCCUCAAUGGGGGCCUUGCCCCACAAUUGCUCAUGCAAUACUAAGCAGUCCCUUGUCAAUUGAACUAGAUAUGUAAGGAUCACAACACCUUAGAAUCCCACACUAUACUGAAUUCAUCUAGACUUUGCUCCACCCUGCAGUGGCAGUUAUAAUAGAAAUGAGAGAAGAAAGAGUACCCUCAAUAUCCACCAAGAUGUGAUAAUAUCCUUUUGAAGAAGAUGGGAUUCAAACCCACUACCUUCUUGUCUCAGCAGUGGUGGCCUCAACACCAAGUGCCUACUUGAGAAAGCAUUCCAUGAACAGCGCUUACCACUACGCCAUCCACCUACCUGCUGGGGGCAUUCUUUGUGCCGGCGGAAAUGUUGCUUUCCUUCCGUCAAGAUCAUAUACAAUACAAGUGGAUUUAUUACCAACUCCAUAGCAAUGCCAGUUGUGGAAGGAUAGCAGAUUUAUCAGUCCCUCCAGGAGUCAGGUGCCUGUUAUGAAUGAAGAUGGUAGGACAAGGUCAAGGGUCCGCUGAGCUGUACUUUUGAAUAUUUACCUUAUGGGUAGAUCAAAUAUUGGCCUAUUAGCCGCUGUGGAAGAGAUUUUGGUGUGACAAAGGAAAAGAAUGGACUGAAAAGCCAUAGACAUCCAGAAGAGGUAAAAAAAAAAAAUAAGAAAGAGAG